UACGUAGGGGGCCAGCGUUGCUCGGAAUUACUGGGCGUAAAGGGCUCGUAGGUGGUGCGGCAAGUUGGAAGUGAAAUCUCUGGGCUUAACCCAGAGGCUGCUUUCGAAACUGCCGUGCUCGAGUGCGGGAGAGGCGAGUGGAAUUGCAGGUGUAGCGGUGAAAUGCGUAGAUAUCUGGAGGAACACCCGUGGCGAAGGCGGCUGGCUGGAUCGCAACUGACGCUGAGGAGCGAAAGCUAGGGGAGCAAACAGG
rnacentral:rRNA from 1 species